rnacentral:lncRNA from 1 species
AGUCCACACGAGCCUGCCUCCAGGAAGCUUCCUGGACCUUUCUUCUGCCACCCCCCUCCACCGCAGGCAGACGAUACUCCCUCCACACCAUUUCCUCUGAGUCAACGACCAGCCCAGCGAGUGGCAUGGAGGAGGUGCUGAGAGGGACCCACAGUGGAUGACUCUAGAGCAUGAGUCUGCACGGGAAGCAGAUCCAGUGCUCAGAAGAGGGGGCCUCCAUAUGCAAGGGGCUUGGGAAAGGGGUCCCCAUGCAGCUGCCCACCAGAGGGGAGGCGAGGAUGCCACUUCUCUUGUUCUACCCAAGUGUGCACAAAUGAGUCACCCUGAAACCCAUGUCCAUGCCACGCUCUGGACAGUCUUGGGCACCUUCCCCAAUGGCCAGCCCCACUCAGGCCAAAGCCAAGCACGGCUGAGUGCACAGACCACCAAACCAGGGCAUGAAGGGUCACCCCUGGGUGACAGGCCCCCCAGGCCAUGGCUCCUCUGCUAUAAGAGUCCCCACUAUCAACCAGUCCUGCUGACCCCACAGUGCCAAGGGCAGGUUUAAUGACCUAUAAUAGGGCCCCAUGUGGGCAUGAGGCCAUCCUGUGCUGUCCACACCAGGGCUCCUGAGGACAGUCUAGCCCCCUGCUGGGGGCUUUCACCAGGUGGUGAAAAAGGAUCAAUUGGCUCCCCCUUGAGGGCAGCACCCAUCACAGCUGCAUCGUUCCUGAUAGUAAGAUUGCUUUCCCAUGCCCAGCAGUCCGGUGGGAAGCACUCAGUGUACCACACAAUGACAAAAGCUGCUGCAAGUUCCCCUGCGGGCACGGUUGUAGGCACUUCAUAUUCCUGUGUUGAUUUGCUCUUCAUUUCAACUCUGUGUGUGUGUGUGUUGGGGGGGUUAUGAUCACCACCCCCAUUUACACUGAGGAAACAGAGGCUUGAGGAGUACAUGACCCAUCCAAGACCACACAGUGAGGAACUGUCAAGGAAGAUCUGAACCCUCGUCUGCGAUUCUCCAGCUUGCAGCCUUAAGCAGCCACCUGCCCUGCCCACUGGCUGGCGAGGAAGAUGCCAUGCAGAUGGUGACUGUUCUUUCCCAUUACACAGCCCGGCUGAAUAACGUGAGAAGCAAAAGCCCUGACUACAGAAAACGCACUCCCCAUGGUAAUGGAUAAAUGAGCCCUGUGGGAUCUUCCUACGAGAGGCCAUUGCCACCCAGAGCCCCAGAGUCUCCAGGCUCCCAGUUCAGUCUCCACCGUGCAGCCCACAUCUUCAGGUCAGGGAAGUUUCUCUGGUUUACGGACCUCCAGCAGGAUCUCGGGCCCAGCCUCUGCUCUAAAGAUGCACAGAGGAAAAAGUGCUGGGCCAGGUCUCAAGGACCACCCAGGGCACCCGUCAACAGGUGAAGCCAAGCCGAGGAGAGGGCUGAGAAGGCACACACAAAGGCACAGGGAUGAGGAGCAGUGGAGUCUUCUGGGACUCCGAGAGCCCUGUGUGGUCAGAGCAUCAGCGGCAAGGCAGCAGGUCAGCAGAAGCAGGAUCACAUACCCAUAACCUCACUCCCUGGCUGGCUGGAAGUCGGCACGCUGGCCCCUCUGGUAGGCAGUUCUCCCACCCUCCAAGUCAGCAGCUGGAGUAUGCACAGGGACAGGCACCCCCACUGAUGCUGUGGGGCGCCCCGUAGAGGUUGAAACCUUUUGACACUGGAGGAUAUUUUUAUGAGAUAAGUGCCCUGUGUCGGUACCAACUGGCAAGUUUCAUUGCUCACAUUUCAGUCCUGCAAAAAGCCUUUUUCAAUCACUGUCCGUGGCAACGAUAAACUUUAAUGGCUGAGGGAAAGCCUGCAGCUCAGGCGCUCUGUCCUUCCUGCCUCCCUGCCCCACACCAGCCAAACUCCCUCCCUUCUCUCUGCUGGGCCAGAGGCCGAAGCACAGGGGCCAAUAGAGUUGGGAGAGACAUCAUCCACCCCCACCUCACCUCCUUUAUUUUCCAACUUUGGUAGAUCGCAGGCUCUGGAGGCAUAGGAGAAACACCAGGGAAUCAAGAGAGGCCAAAACCCAGCCCAGUACAGAAGCAGACUCUCUGGGGUGGCUCCAGGGCACCAGCGUUUUAAAAAGCUCCCCAGUGGAUUCCAUCGGGCAGGGGGCGUUGAGAACAGCUGCGCCUCCUCCUGGAAAGCAGGCACAGGUUCAUGCUCAAGGAAUGAAGAAUGAGUGAAAGAAUAAAUCCAUGAAUGAUUUUACCUACAGUAACUGAUUCAGCCAUCUCAGUGUCCUACAGGUCACCCUGCAUCUCAAGUGGACAGAGACUCACCCACCUUGCACAGUACCCGCUCUGGAAAUGAAGGCAGGAUGUGAAAUAAAGGACCAGCGAGCUAAGUCUGACUCCAAGAGCCUGGCUAUUUUUUCUCAGGCAUCCUUAGCCAACCUGCCUGUGGUUAUGCCAAAGUCCAGGGAUCUAAGGCUGAGGGUCCUGGGGACAGUCAGUCAGAACUGACAGUGGGACUUUGUCUCUCUCAGUGAGGCCCAGGCCUGCCUGGGGGCUCUCAGGGGGAGGGUCACUAGCACCCAGAACCCACAAUCAAGAGGCUGGUGGACUGUUUAAAGAAACUGUCUGAAUUGCAAUUUUUUUUUUUUGAGAUGGAGUCUCACUCUGUCGCCCAAGCCUGAGUGUAGUGGCGUGAUCUCAGCUCACUGCAACCUUCGCCUCCUGGGUUCAAGCAAUUCUUCUAAGUGCCUGCCACUGUGCCCGGCUAAUUUUUGUAUUUUUACUAGAGAUCGUGUUUCACCAUGUUGUCCAGGCUGGUCUCGAACUCCUGACCUCAAGUAAUCCACCUGCCUCAGCCUCCCAAAGUGUUGGGAUUACAGGAAUGACCCACUGCGCCCGGCCCUGAAUUGCAUUAAAAAAAGUUUAUUCCCCCAUGUUGUCUGGCCCCAAAUCCUGCCAUGGAGAACUGGCUUCAAUAAAUGCCCCCUCUGCCAUUCAUCACUUGAGUCUCACUUCCCUCUCCUGCCUCAGCUCAUACCAUUUAUUACACCCACAGUCUCCAAAUGAACAACUUCUGCAACUUACAAACAUACUUGAGAGCUCCACCUGUCCUCCCCAAUCCAUCAAGGCAACAAAAUUCAUUUCUCCUUGGGAGCCUAAAGAAGCCCAGGCUUGGGGACUAAUUAAGCAUUUCCUUUGAAAUGCAUGCAUGCUGUAGAUUGCUGAGGGUGAACUCCAACCUCUAAUAAAAUAGGAACCAGAUGCCAGGAACAGGAGGUGCACAGCAUCCUGCUAUCAUGGCCAUCACCCAGGAGGGACCCGGCGAGGGGCAGCACAGCCUCUGGAGGGCUCUGGCUAAUGUCAAAGUUCAGGUUCACAGCACCAGCUGGAAUUUUUAUUUUGGCCAUCAUCUACAACAAGGAAUGAGUGCCUCCUGACACCCCCAUGAGCACACCAUACCUCCAGCCUUCAUUCCCCCUUCCCUCCUUAUUUUGCACACUCUGGGGAAUCUGGCUGGAGCUCUAAUUCUCCUGCAAAGCCUUCCUGAAAUACUCAAACCUUGAAGGGACUGUUUCCCCUCCCACUACACCCGAUGAGUACUGCAAAGAUACAGCCCUUGGCCACAGAGUGUCAAUUAUUAUAAUAUUAACCACCA